GUGCUCGCUUCGGCAGCACAUAAUACUAAAAUUGGAACGAUACAGAGAAGAUUAGCAUUUGAACAAUGAGAACACAUGGACACAGGGAGGGGAGCACUACACAC